UCACAAUGCAGACAGCUCUGUCUUGUGGCCCUGACAUCUCAACACACAUUCUUCAGGGCAUCUGAAAUAUUGAUCAAGGAUUUUUCAUUCUUUUCCCAAAAUUGACACACAAGGGCUUCUGCUCACAGGUCACUGGCCAUUACUAGUUACACAGCCUUGCCAAGCUGGAGAAGAGCUGGGAGGUGGUUUUUGAUAUAUCCAGAAAUGACAAGAUCACCAGCUAUUGCUCUCAUAAAUCAGUGGAAGAAUUUAUAAUUGAUCAAGCCUGGAAAUAGCUUUGCUGUCUACCUACCUGGAGGACAGGAGUCUACCCUCCCAAGAUUACUACCUCCCAGGGUACGUGAUUUGUGACAGUUGGUGUGUUAGGAGUGGUCUGCAAAAUGAUUCAACAAUAAGAUUUGGGAGCUGGAUCAUCCAUGAGCCAGUUAAUAAUAACUCCUAUCAACUGAUGUUGGCAAUUCCUUGGAAGAAUAGAGCUACAGUUUCCAAAUGUAUCAAAAUCUUAAAAAUACAGCUUGCACCCGUUGAACUUUAUUUUCUCCUCUCUGGAAGCAAACACAUCAUCUUCCCAAUGAAGACUUCCCUGGUCCUUCAAGACUACACUACCUACCCUUCCUAUAGGCUUCCCCAGCAUCCAAGUGAAUGUUUGAUAAACUUUA